UACGUAGGGUGCAAGCGUUAAUCGGAAUUACUGGGCGUAAAGCGUGCGCAGGCGGUGAGGUAAGACAGAUGUGAAAUCCCCGGGCUCAACCUGGGAACUGCAUUUGAGACUGCAUCGCUGGAGUGCGGCAGAGGGGGAUGGAAUUCCGCGUGUAGCAGUGAAAUGCGUAGAUAUGCGGAGGAACACCGAUGGCGAAGGCAAUCCCCUGGGCCUGCACUGACGCUCAUGCACGAAAGCGUGGGGAGCAAACAGG
rnacentral:rRNA from 1 species